GACGAACGCUGGCGGCGUGCUUAACACAUGCAAGUCGAACGGAAAGGCCCUGCUUUUGUGGGGUGCUCGAGUGGCGAACGGGUGAGUAACACGUGAGUAACCUGCCCUUGACUUUGGGAUAACUUCACGAAACUGGGGCUAAUACCGUAUAGGAGCUCCUGCUUCUUGGUGGUGGUUGGUAAGUUUCGGCGGUUGGGGAUGGACUCGCGGCUUAUCAGCUUGUUGGUGGGGUAGUGGCUUACCAAGGCUUCGACGGGUAGCCGGCCUGAGAGGGUGACCGGCCACAUUGGGACUGAGAUACGGCCCAGACUCCUACGGGAGGCAGCAGUGGGGAAUAUUGCACAAUGGGCGGAAGCCUGAUGCAGCAACGCCGCGUGCGGGAUGAAGGCCUUCGGGUUGUAAACCGCUUUCGCCUGUGACGAAGCGUGAGUGACGGUAAUGGGUAAAGAAGCACCGGCUAACUACGUG
rnacentral:rRNA from 1 species